GGAAUUUUGGAUAUUUUGCCAAACGAAAAAAUACAUAAUCACCCGAGGAAAACCAGAAGUGCCAUAGACGGUUGCUGUGCAUGGCGAAAUCUGGUGAAAAACCUUGGCGAUUAUGCGUCCGGAUCGAAACCGAAAAAUUGCCGAAAACCCCAGGGAAAACCCAAUUAACUAUAAUAUACCAUACCUACCCCAUACCUACUGAAAUCCAGAAAAGUAAAAAUCUUGAAAAAAAAAGAAAACAAAAAAAAAUCUCGCAAGAUGUUCAAAUAAAACAUUGUAGACCACCCGAAAAUUUAGUCUACAAAUUGCGCAAGACAAAUAUCCCUUUUUAUGAACAGAUUGUUCCAGAUAAGGUGUAUUUAUCUUAACCUUGAAACCUAAAAAUACUUCAGAUAUGUUCAGGACAAGGUGCGUGGCAAAUGAAUCCAAUGGCCCAACAUAUUUUACGAUAGUUUGUAGAAGUUGUUAGGACACUUGGAUGCAUUUUCAAGAUGUGAUGUGUGCAUUUCUAUAUUUAAAUUUUUGGCGCCUUUUGCUAUCUCGCGCAAGAAAAUUGCAACGCGCGCACUGAAUAUUAAUAUAGCA